UCCCAAAGGAAUCCAAAGCACUCCUUGAACCUCAGUAUAUACUGAACACCACUGAAAUGUAGCCAUCUGUGGGGUAGAGGGAAUCAGCCAGGACAGCACUGGGCAGCAAGAGUGGGGAGGAGAAGUUUUGCCUAAGUACACAAGGGCAAACCCCUUCAAUGAAGAGGGCAGUUGUAUCUUUACUAUGUCCACACACCAUGAAGGACUUCAAUUUCUGGGGUCCAUUCAAAAGAACAGACCCAGACUCCCUCACAUAGCAAACUGCAUGGAACUCAACCUUCGCUCUUGCAAGGAUGGAGAGCUAAGUAUAACCUGCUGUACUUGAAUCUGUUGUUCCAGGGAUCUGGACAUUUCAUAAAGUCCAUUCUGGAUUUUAUAUAUUCCACUAAUAUUUAUUAUGUACUGGUAUUACAGUAGUGCCAAGAGGAUCUGGCUAAUAAUGGAGACCCAUUGUGCAAAGCGCUGUACAGACACAUGGUGAGAGGCUGUACCUGCUUUGAAGUGCUUCCAAGCUAAAUAGACAACACAGAGAGAAAAGUGGGAGGGGAAACACAGGCACAGAGAGGUGACACAGUUUUCCCAGUGUCAUACCAGAAAAGCAUUUUGUGGUUCUGGAGGCUUUCUGUAGCUUAUAGUGGCAUUAUGUUUUGUGAGACAGAGUUAAUUGUCUCACUUUCCUGGAGUCUGUGCUGUUUCUGGGCAGUAUACAACAGUACAGUAUAGUACAUUUUCUAGCUGAUGCACUAUAAGUAAUCUGGCACUCUGUGAUGUUUUCAUGGUAUGGUUCUUAGAAGAUCUAGCUACUGUUCAUGGGUCUUCUGUUGACUUGCAGUUCAGUACUGGGGCAAGUCAAUUAACCUCUCUCUGGCUGUUUCCCCACACACAAAUUGGGAAUAGCACCUGCCUUACAGUGGUGCAGUCGGUGAACUAAUUAAUGUCAAUGAUGCUUUGAGAUCAUUGGUCAUAAGGCAUUAUAGAAGGGCAAAUGAUGGCAGUAAUUUAUCCAGAAAUUAAAUACAAUACUUUAAAAUAAGUCUAGAAAACAUAGUACACAGACAAAGGCAUCUACACGCCUAACGUGCAGGGAUUAAUACUGUUGUUUGCCUUGUUAUAUGUUUAAAAUUAAUAUUAACUGCUAAGGUUAAUAGUAAAAAUUAAGCACAAUAAAGCAUUUUAGAGAUAGUGA